rnacentral:rRNA from 1 species
UGGGGAAUUUGGACAAUGGGGGCAACCCUGAUCCAGCCAUCCCGCGUGUGCGAUGAAGGCCUUCGGGUUGUAAAGCACUUUUGGCAGGGAAGAAACAGCCUGGGAUAAUACCCCGGGCGACUGACGGUACCUGCAGAAUAAGCACCGGCUAACUACGUGCCAGCAGCCGCGGUAAUACGUAGGGUGCAAGCGUUAAUCGGAAUUACUGGGCGUAAAGCGUGCGCAGGCGGUUCGGAAAGAAAGGUGUGAAAUCCCAGGGCUUAACCUUGGAACUGCACUUUUAACUACCGAGCUAGAGUACGUCAGAGGGGGGUAGAAUUCCACGUGUAGCAGUGAAAAUGCGUAGAGAUGUGGAGGAAUACCGAUGGCGAAGGCAGCCCCCUGGGAUGAUACUGACGCUCAUGCACGAAAAGCGUGGGGAGCAAACAGGAUUAGAUACCCUGGUAGUCCACGCCCUAAACGAUGUCAACUAGCUGUUGGGGUUUAUUAACCUUAGUAGCGCAGCUAACGCGUGAAGUUGACCGCCUGGGGGAGUACGGUCGC